GAGUUUCUAGCUGGUGGAUCUGCCCAGCUGAGCUGUGAACUAUCAGGGGAAUCGUUUGCUGUUGGAUAUCUCCUCCCUGGGGAAGGCCGUUUCUCCCUCUCAGUGCUCCUUGGUUGCCUAGAGUUCUUCGCGUAGGGUGCAAGGGGCCUCGUGGACCAACCACGGUGUGCCACCAACUCAGAAACGGGUGGUAGCAUUCAGUUUAAGCAUCGCCAUAAACUUGUUGAUCUGAGGUUCUCAGAAGUUGACUCCGGGUUCCUAAGGUCAUAACAUUGGAGAUUCCAGGUAAAAUAAAGACGAAGUGCACAUCUUCGCGAA
rnacentral:lncRNA from 1 species